rnacentral:rRNA from 1 species
GUCGAACGCUGGCGGCGUGCUUAACACAUGCAAGUCGAGCGAGCGGCGGACGGGUGAGUAAUGUCUGGGCAACUGCCUGAUGGAGGGGGAUAACUACUGGAAACGGUAGCUAAUACCGCAUACCAUCCGAUUUGCCCAGAUGGGAUUAGCUCGUGUGUGGGGUACGGGCUCACCUAGGCGACGCUCCCUCGCUGGUCUGAGAGGAUGAACAGCCACACUGGAACUGAGACACGGUCCAGACGCCUACGGUAGGCAGCAGUGGGGAAUAUUGCACAAUGGGCGCAAGCCUGAUGCAGCCAUGCCGCGUGUGUGAAGAAGGCCUUCGGGUUGUAAAGCACUUUCAGCGAGGAGGCGUUACUCGCAGAAGAAGCACCGGCUAACUCCGUGCCAGCAGCCGCGGUAAUUC